AACGAACCGCCCUUGCUGUCUCUGCCUGGCCGGUUUCCCCUCUUUCCACUGGGAUUCUCUGCCUCUGUAACAGGGUUGGUUAUGUUUCCACUUGCCUCUAAAGAAAUGUGUACUUAAUGUUCAAGCAUUCGUAUUGGUUGGUUCAACUGAUGACAAUAAGGUGUGUUGUGAUUGGCCCCGCUUGCAGAUAGGGGGAGAUCGCGAACGUCAGGUCUUCCCAGUAUGAAAAUGUGAUGCAAGGGGAAUAAAUGAUGCUCAACUGGGACCGCUGGCUGAUGUGAUUUAUUAGGAAAAAAACACAACGCAAGGAGAGUACGCUAUACAUCUGUUACACUGGUGCCGUAACUCGUCUUCUUGUCUUCGCCGGACGUCACGUGGAGGGAUCCGAGACCUGGCUUCAAGAAGUACUGUGGUUGCUGAUGCACGCCAGAGGCCUAGGUUUCGCAGUCUGCACAAGUGGAAUUCUCAGGGAGCUCCUGGUAGCAUGAGUGAGUGGGGGGAAAUAUAAUGUACUGGUUAUUACUUGUAUGUGGUGAUGCUGUGAUUAUUUAGUGAUGUAAUUGUGCUGUUAUGCUAGUAACCUUCCGAAGCCAAUUAACGUGAGGGCAACGCCAUUUUCUACCACACGGUGGUGACAACUAUUUAUGAUGGCGUUUCUUGUUACUUUUCUGUGUUGAUUCUUGGUCUUGUUAGACAUCUACUACUGAACGUUUGUUUUGAGUGGAUUAUGUUCAUUUUGAUUUGAUAGAAUUGUUCAUAUUGAUUGUGAUUUUUUAUU
rnacentral:lncRNA from 1 species